rnacentral:tRNA from 1 species
AGACAAUUGGGAGAGCGGUUUAAUCCACUAUCUUGGAAGGAUAGCGUAGAGAAAUCUACCGUCGGUUCAAAUCCGACAUUGUCUGCCA